UGGGGAAUUUUGGGACAAUGGGGGGAAACCCUGAUCCAGCCAUCCCGCGUGUGCGAUGAAGGCCUUCGGGUUGUAAAGCACUUUGGCAGGAAAGAAACGUCGCGGGUUAAUACCCCGCGAAACUGACGGUACUGCAGAAUAAGCACCGGCUAACUACGUGCCAGCAGCCGCGGUAAUACGUAGGGUGCAAGCGUUAAUCGGAAUUACUGGGCGUAAAGCGUGCGCAGGCGGUUCGGAAAGAAAGAUGUGAAAUCCCAGAGCUUAACUUUGGAACUGCAUUUUUAAACCUACCGGGCUAGAGUGUGUCAGAGGGAGGUGGGAAUUCCGCGUGUAGCAGUGAAAUGCGUAGAUAUGCGGAGGAACACCGAUGGCGAAGGCAGCCUCCUGGGAUAACACUGACGCUCAUGCACGAAAAGCGUGGGGGAGCAAACAGGAUUAGAUA
rnacentral:rRNA from 1 species